rnacentral:rRNA from 2 species
CAGCCGCCGCGGUAAAACCAGCACCUCAAGUGGUCAGGAUGAUUAUUGGGCCUAAAGCAUCCGUAGCCGGCUCUGUAAGUUUUCGGUUAAAUCUGUACGCUCAACGUACAGGCUGCCGGGAAUACUGCAGAGCUAGGGAGUGGGAGAGGUAGACGGUACUCGAUAGGAAGGGGUAAAAUCCUUUGAUCUAUUGAUGACCACCUGUGGCGAAGGCGGUCUACCAGAACACGUCCGACGGUGAGGGAUGAAAGCUGGGGGAGCAAACCGGAUUAGAUACCCGGGUAGUCCCAGCUGUAAACUAUGCAAACUCGGUGAUGCAUUGGCUUGAUGCCAAUGCAGUGCCGCAGGGAAGCCGUUAAGUUUGCCGCCUGGGAAGUACGUACGCAAGUAUGAAACUUAAAGGAAUUGGCGGGGGAGCAC